AAGAAAAUAAAAAUAACCGGCUGGGUGCGGUGGCUCACGCCUGUAAUCCCAGCACUUUGGGAAGCCGAGGCGGGCGGAUCACGAAGUCAGGAGAUCUAGACCAUCCUGGCUAACACGGUGAAAUCCCAUCUCUACUAAAAAUACAAAAAAAUUAGCCAGGCAUGGUGGCGGGCACCUGUAGUCCCAGCUACUCGGGAGGCUGAGCUGACUUUGGUGUGUCUGCCAAGAAUCUGAAGACUCUACAGAAACGAGAUUCCUUCAUCGGCACGCCUUACUGGACUCUGUGUUCCGGGUUGCUGCUGCCAUCUCGCGGUAGGCAUCGGAACUGCAGCAGGACGUGGCGGGGAGCCGCGUGGAAGCGUUUUUCUGUGGAAGAGCGUCCUAAGGAAGACAGUGGGAUGCAAAGUCACGCAGAUCAUGAUUCGGGAGUGCUGCCAACCCCGACAGUGACUCGUGGUGGCCCUUGACCCUGAAUGUCCAAGAAGCACCUGUAAAGGCCAGAUUCUUAGCCCUAUGUUGUCCCUUGGUUGGUUCA
rnacentral:sRNA from 1 species